rnacentral:lncRNA from 10 species
AUUUUCAUGGCAUCAACAAAAGGAUAUACAGAAGUAUGAAACAAUCACUUGGUUACAGGCUUCUACACAUCCUGUGAAGACAUCUACACAGACCAAAAGGUAUUUUUACCUGCAGAAUGUGGGGAGCUGAAUGGAGUCCAUCUGCCACUCCUCCCCAGGUUCUUCAUCACAGACUCCAUUCCUGAUGCUGUCUUUUGCAACACAUCGCAAGCCACUUGCAUUUUUUCCCUCUCUGGAAGGAUCAAUGGACUGGGAAAGUAUAAACCAAGAAGUCACUCUGUUUUGGUCACUAAACCAGGCUGAUUUUUCAAAAACUUAAAGGUCGUGGAAAAGAAAAUGAUGACUGUUGUAAUUCUCGUUCCAGUUUAACUCACUCAGUGAAGACUUCUGUGGACAUCCUCCUUAUAGAAAAAAUGCCACAUGUUCUCUCCUAAAAUACAUUGUUUAGCAAAAUAUGAGGAUACUAAAUACAUUUUCCAGUGUUAUUUUUUCUAAAAAUUAAGUCAGUUUUAGCAAGUGUUUGGUUGAAUAUUUUAUAAAAUAUCUAAUGACUGGAGGCUAUUGUUCAGGCAACCAGAUAAAAUACCACAUGCUCACCAUACCCUGUAAUAUUUUUCUCCACAUAUCUAAUCACUGUAUAAUAUAGAUUAUGUUUUUAUUAUUUAUUUUGUUUAUCCGUUUCUCCUAAUAAAAUGUAGUUUUC